CCUACGGGAGGCAGCAGUGAGGAAUAUUGGUCAAUGGAGGCAACUCUGAACCAGCCAUGCCGCGUGCAGGAUGACGGUCCUAUGGAUUGUAAACUGCUUUUGUACAGGAAGAAACCUCGCUACGUGUAGCGAUUUGACGGUACUGUAAGAAUAAGGAUCGGCUAACUCCGUGCCAGCAGCCGCGGUAAUACGGAGGAUCCGAGCGUUAUCCGGAAUUAUUGGGUUUAAAGGGUUCGUAGGCGGUUAGAUAAGUCAGUGGUGAAAUUUCUUAGCUUAACUAAGACCCGGCCAUUGAUACUGUUUGACUUGAAUAGUAUGGAAGUAACUAGAAUAUGUAGUGUAGCGGUGAAAUGCUUAGAUAUUACAUGGAAUACCAAUUGCGAAGGCAGGUUACUACGUACUUAUUGACGCUGAUGAACAAAAGCGUGGGGAGCGAACAGGAUUAGAUACCCUGGUAGUCCACGCCGUAAACGAUGGAUACUAGCUGUUCGGUUUUCGGACUGAGUGGCUAAGCGAAAGUGAUAAGUAUCCCACCUGGGGAGUACGUUCGCAAGAAUGAAACUCAAAGGA
rnacentral:rRNA from 1 species